AUUGAACGCUGGCGGAAUGCUUUACACAUGCAAGUCGAACGGCAGCACGGACUUCGGUCUGGUGGCGAGUGGCGAACGGGUGAGUAAUGUAUCGGAACGUGCCCAGUCGUGGGGGAUAACGUAGUGAAAAUUACGCUAAUACCGCAUACGAUCUAUGGAUGAAAGAGGGGGAUCGCAAGACCUCGCGCGAUUGGAGCGGCCGAUAUCAGAUUAGGUAGUUGGGGGGGUAAAGGCCCACCAAGCCAACGAUCUGUAGCUGGUCUGAGAGGACGACCAGCCACACUGGAACUGAGACACGGUCCAGACUCCUACGGGAGGCAGCAGUGGGGAAUUUAGGACAAUGGGCGAAAGCCUGAUCCAGCCAUUCCACUUGCAGGAUGAAGGCCCUCGUGUUUUAAACUGCUUUUGUACAGAACGAAAAGGUUUCUACUAAUACUAGGAGCUCAUGACGGUACUGUAAGAAUAAGCACCGGCUAACUACGUGCCAGCAGCCGCCGUAA
rnacentral:rRNA from 1 species